rnacentral:lncRNA from 1 species
GGGGUGUGGUGCAUGUGGGUCCUAUCAACACUUCAUGUCAUGCUAACGAGAGGAUAAUGAUUGGGCAAAGCAACGGCCCCUACAGCACAAGUACGAGAAAAUCAAUCUGGUAUCUGACGGACGAUGGGAUGAAUGUGGUGGUGAAGGUUUUGAGAUCUUCUUGAAAAGAAGCUUUCCUGGCAUCUCUCAGACUCAAGCGAAUACAGUGAGAGGAGUUUGAAAAGAUGGAAUGCGACCAUGAGGAUGAACAUGGUGGAUCAAAAUCCAACUUUCGUGACGAUGAGCUGCAAAACAAUUCAGGUCUUAGUACAUCAACUUGCGAACACACCGAGUCAUCUGAUGUAAAAGGCCUGGAAUCUACUAGAACGUGUCUUAAGGACAGUGAACUAUCACCGACUGAUGAACUUUCUGGGAAGGAAAACUCGUGUCUUAUUUCUCCUCUGAGCAAAUCAAAACCGCUAGCAUUUGAUGUGCAUAUCAAAGAAGUACAAACAGAUGUGAAAAAGCCAUUUCAAAAUGUCAAAAACCCUCCCUGCAGUGACAUCAAUGAUGCUUUUCCUGUCUGCGUUCAACUACCCACAAGCCAUCCUAAAAAAUCACAUAUCACUGAUUAUAAAGCAACACACCGUCAUCGCAAAAUCAGCCAGUCGUCCAGCUCCACAUCGAGUCAUUUGAGCCUGAAAGCUCCUGUUGAAGACCUGUGUGCAUCCUUUUUGUUGGCGUGUUUGUUCUGCAAGUUUUGGGAUUGUGUGCUGGCCGUCGGUGAUGGAUGUCAGUACAGCGUGGCCUCUAUCUGUUCAUCCUUCUGCUCUAACGCAUGUUGUUGCGACCCUUCCUCUCUGGAGGACUAUAUAGAUUUAUGCUCAUGUUGCAGCUGCGCUGAAUACAUGGAGGCUUGUGGCUGUACUUGUGGAGAAAACACCUUUGACUGCUCCAUUUGUGAUCUCUGUCUACAGACAACUGAGUGUCUGGAACUCGGCAUGGAACUCUCUCAGCUUCUGUUUCACUAG